rnacentral:rRNA from 1 species
UACGUAGGGGGCAAGCGUUGUCCGGAAUUAUUGGGCGUAAAGAGCUCGUAGGUGGCUUGUUGCGUCUGCCGUGAAAUCCCGUGGCUUAACUGCGGGUCUGCGGUGGAUACGGGCAGGCUAGAGGCUGGUAGGGGCAAGCGGAAUUCCUGGUGUAGCGGUGAAAUGCGCAGAUAUCAGGAGGAACACCGGUGGCGAAGGCGGCUUGCUGGGACGGUACUGACGCUGAGACGCGAAAGCGUGGGGAGCAAACAGG